AACAUCGCGCACCUGCGGGAACCUGCGGAAGGAUCAUUAAUGAUUGGUGGCUGUUGCUGACUAGUGUUUCUAGUAUGUGCACGCCACACCUUCAAUCCCACUUACACCUGUGCACCUUCUGUAAUAGAUCUAUGUGGAUACGGAGAUAUGAAAGUUCGCGCUCUCGUACUCUGUUGAAGCAGUCUACUACGUUUUUUUACACACACACAAUAGUCAUUGAAUGUAUUUUUUAUUCUUAUG
rnacentral:misc_RNA from 1 species